CCGUGUGGCUUUUUAGCUUUCCUUCAUUCCGUAUAUGCCCAGUUCCCUCUGUGUCUUACUGGCAUCUCUUGUGCACCUAGAUUCAUCUCCAGUUCCUUUCUCUUCACAGAAGUCCCGCCUAUUUUCUCCAGCCUAGCUAUUGGCCAUUCAGCUCUUUAUUAAACCAAUCAGAAGGCACCAUUUGCACAGUGUGAUCAAAUAUCCUACAAUAGCUUUUGGUUGUGGUUUUAUCAUGGGGACAAAAAAAGAGUAAUGAGGGAAAGAAAACCCUCUUUCUAUUUUUAUGAUGACAAAACCUUCUGCCUGUGGCCUGCCCAUUUCAGCCAAGAAUGGUAGACACUUUUAUGGAGAGACUCCCAUAUUUCACAGUACCCUUUCUUUGACUCCUGUCAUUUCAGCCACAUGCAUCAUGACCUGAAGAUAAGCUUACCCUCAAAGGCAUUCCACAUCUUUUCUUCUUAAACUACGACCUUAAAGUGUAUAUGCUUAAGAAUGUACUGCUUAGCUGAGCUGCGACUACCUGAAAAUACUUGUAGGUUGGAUGUGUACAGCCACCUGGAGUGCUCACCACCAUGGAUCUCCACACUUCCCUGUCAGGCUCUCCUUCCUGCUGCGGAUCCUAAAGAAAAUGGCUUCAAGAAAUUAUAUGCCAAAGAUCUCAGAUGGAGACUUAACUCGUCAUCAAUAUGUGAUUGGCACGGAGACAAAGAAGUUACAGGUGUGCACAGGUGAGACAACUGGAUUAAUCCAUUGCUUCAAAACAAACCAUGAACUUUGGUUUGUUGGAAACUAUAGUGACCUUUAUGGGCAGUGAAAGAAUUGGAAGAGUUGCAAGUAUGGCAUUUCCUAAACAAAAAUUCAUUAAAAGUGAAAAAUGAAAACAAAA
rnacentral:lncRNA from 1 species